GGUAUGUCCGCCCCAUUACGUAAAUUUGUGCGCACGAGUGCUUCAGUAUUGUUUACGAUUAUUUAUUUUGCGUAACCAAAAGCUUAAUAAGUCUACAAUCUCAUGGCUUAUUUUGACUUCAUGAAGCAAAGUGAUUUUCAGAAAACUAAUGAGAAUUCUUGAUCCAGUGAUUAAAAUCUGUGAUAUUAUUUUUUUUCUAAUUUGUUACUGUACAUACUAACAUGGAGUCUUUUCUAAUUAAAUGGUUUUUUUAAAAAG
rnacentral:misc_RNA from 1 species